UGGGGAAUAUUGCACAAUGGGCGAAAGCCUGAUGCAGCGACGCCGCGUGAGGGAUGACGGCCUUCGGGUUGUAAACCUCUUUCAGUAGGGACGAAGCGCAAGUGACGGUACCUGCAGAAGAAGCACCGGCUAACUACGUGCCAGCAGCCGCGGUAAUACGUAGGGUGCGAGCGUUGUCCGGAAUUACUGGGCGUAAAGAGCUCGUCGGCGGUUUGUCACGUCGGCUGUGCAAUCCUAGGGCUUAACCCUGGACGUGCAGGCGAUACGGGGUGACUUGAGUACUACAAGGGAGACUGGAAUUUCUGGUGUAGCGGUGGAAUGCACAGAUAUCAGGAAGAACACCGAUGGCGAAGGCAGGGCUCUGGGUAGUAACUGACGCUGAGGAUCGAAAGCAUGGGUAGCGAACAGG
rnacentral:rRNA from 1 species